GGCUGCGCCCUUGGAAAAGGAAUGAUCAUGAUGACAGUUACACAGCAAAGAACGAAAACAUGAAAAAAUAUCCCUCAGAUACAAUCUUCAUCAAUCGAAUAAUUCAAAAAUUUAAAGUCACAAGUAAUAAACUAGGAGAUAAGAAAUACUGGAUCAUUUCCUUUCUGGCAGGGGCUGCGUUAGAGUUUUGCAUGGUGAAACUGGAUGUAAACGGUCAUAGUUAUUAUAAAACUUACACAAGAAGAGAGGCAUUGAAAGAAGCUCAGAAACGAUUCAUAGAAGAACUAGAGCGUAAAGAAGUGGAUGAAUUACUAAAAAGUACCCCCAAAGAGGCCCUGGAUUCAGUGACAAUUUGAGAUAUGGGGAUGCUUGCUGAAUAUUUUACAAAGUACAGAUUUACAGUAAUUGCCAAAUCCUUCUUCUGGAUGUUUGUAGGAAAUCAGUGUGUUCAUAUGUACUACCAACCUCUGAAACACUUUGAGGAAGAGGUUCAAAAACAGCUAGAGAUAUUAAGACAGCAGGCCCAGGAAGAAGAAAAAACAAGUGCCCUCUCUGAGCAGACAUCUUGAUUGUGUGGUGGUGGUGGUAUUGCUAACCAACCACCUUAGAUACAGACUAUCUGAUUAUAUUUAUAUUUAAUGUAUUGUGUGAAACCGAGUUUUGUGACCUAUUUGAAAUAAAUGGAGCACAUGUGUUUAA